CAGUCGCCGCGGUAAUACGAACCGUGCGAACGUUAUUCGGAAUCACUGGGCUUAAAGCGCGUGUAGGCGGGAGGGCACGUCCGUCGCUGAAAUCCCCCGGCUCAACCGGGGAACGGGCGCGGAUACGACUCUUCUGGAGGAACGUAGGGGGACCUGGAACUUCCGGUGGAGCGGUGAAAUGCGUUGAGAUCGGAAGGAACGCCCGUGGCGAAAGCGAGGUCCUGGACGUUUACUGACGCUGAGACGCGAAAGCCAGGGGAGCAAAUGGGAUUAGAUACCCCCGUAGUCCCUGUCUCUUAUA
rnacentral:rRNA from 1 species